ACCAUCCUACGGGGGGCAGCAGUGAGGAAUAUUGGUCAAUGGGCGCAAGCCUGAACCAGCCACGUCGCGUGAGGGAAGACGGCCCUACGGGUUGUAAACCUCUUUUGCCGGGGAGCAAGCCUGAGCACGUGUGCCCAGGCGGAGAGUACCCGGAGAAAAAGCAUCGGCUAACUCCGUGCCAGCAGCCGCGGUAAUACGGAGGAUGCAAGCGUUAUCCGGAUUUAUUGGGUUUAAAGGGUGCGCAGGCGGGCUGUUAAGCCGGCGGUAAAAAUUCAGGGCCCCACCC
rnacentral:rRNA from 1 species